AUUGAACGCUGGCGGCAGGCCUAACACAUGCAAGUCGAGCGAGCGGCGGACGGGUGAGUAAUGUAUGGGGACUGCCCGAUAGCGGGGGAUAACUAAUGGAAACGGUGGAUAAUAGCGCAGACUAACGGAGAACCCACAUGGGAUUAGAUAGUAGGUGGGGCAAAGGCUCACCUAGGAGACGAUCUCUAGCUGGUCUGCGAGGAUGAUCAGCCACACGGGAUCUGAUACACGGCCCAGACUCCUACGGAGUCAGCAGUGGGGAAUAUUUCACAAUGGGCGCAAUCCUGAUGCAGCCAUGCCGGUUGUAUGAAGAAGGCCUUAGGGUUGUAAAGUACUUUCAGCGGGGAGGCGUUACCCGCAGAAGAAGCACCGGCUAACUCCGUGCCAGCAGCCGCGGUAAUUC
rnacentral:rRNA from 1 species